CCUACGGGAGGCAGCAGUGGGGAAUUUUGGACAAUGGGCGCAAGCCUGAUCCAGCAAUGCCGCGUGAGUGAAGAAGGCCUUCGGGUUGUAAAGCUCUUUUGUCAGGGAAGAAACGGUCUACUCUAAUACAGUGGGCUAAUGACGGUACCUGAAGAAUAAGCACCGGCUAACUACGUGCCAGCAGCCGCGGUAAUACGUAGGGUGCAAGCGUUAAUCGGAAUUACUGGGCGUAAAGCGUGCGCAGGCGGUUAUAUAAGUCAGAUGUGAAAUCCCCGGGCUCAACCUGGGAACUGCAUUUGAGACUGUAUGGCUAGAGUGUGUCAGAGGGGGGUAGAAUUCCACGUGUAGCAGUGAAAUGCGUAGAUAUGUGGAGGAAUACCGAUGGCGAAGGCAGCCCCCUGGGAUAACACUGACGCUCAUGCACGAAAGCGUGGGGAGCAAACAGGAUUAGACUACCCGUGGUACGUCCGACCGACCCGUAACCGUAACGUAGUCUACUACGUUAGGUUCGGGUACGUUAACGUUAGUUCGUUGGUUAACGUACGACGACGUAACGUACGUAGUAAGUAGACCGCCGUCGGGAGGUACGGUACGCGAGAAGUUAAACGUUAAAGUAAAGUUAGUACGGCGUGAGACGAGACGACGGACGACGACGAGGGAGGAGG
rnacentral:rRNA from 1 species